rnacentral:rRNA from 1 species
UUUUUAUUUCAUUGUCAGAGGUGAAAUUAUUGGAUUUAUGAAAGACGAACCACUGUGAAAACAUUUGCCAAGGAUGUUUUCAUUAAUCAAGAAUGAAAUUUCGAGGCUAACACAAUAGUCAUAGUUGUACUAUCACAAAAAUGAAGUGAACUCGCCUUAGUUACUAUAAAUAAUAUAUUGUAUUUUAAUCCAUAUAGAACCGUAUGUCGUGAUAUAAAUUGAUGGGAAGGAUGAUUCAUUCAAAUUUAUGCCCUAUCAAAUUUUGAUGGUAGGAUAUAGGCCUACCAUGGUGGUGACGGGUGACAGAGAAUUAGGGUUCGAUUCUGGAGAGGGAGCCUGAGAAAUGGCUACCACAUCCAAGGAAGGCAACAUGCACGCAAAUUACCCAAUCCUGACAUGGCUAGGUAGUGACAAUAAAUAAAAAUAUUGGGCUCAUCGAGUUUGGUAAUUGGAAUGAGUACAAUCUAAAUCCCUUAACGAGGAUCCAUUGGAGGGAAAGUCUAGUGCCAGCAGCUGCGGUAAUUCCAACUCCAAUAGCAUAUAUUUAAGUUGUUGCAGUUAAAAAGAUCGUAGUUGGAUAUUGGGUCGUAAAGGUCGGUCCACCUACUUGGUGUGCACCUUCCCUUCCGUCCCUUUUUUCGGUGGCGUGCUCCUGGCCUUAAUUGGCUGGGUCACGGUUCCAGCGUUUCUACUUUGAAAAAAUUAGAGUGCUCAAAGCAAGCUUAUGCUUUGAAUACAUUAGCAUGGAAUAACGCGAUAGGAGUAUGGUCCUAUUGUGUUGGCCUUCAAGACCAGAGUAAUGAUUAAUAGGGACUGUCGGGGGAAUUUGUAUCUCAUUGUCAGAGGUGAAAUUCUUGGAUUUAUGAAAUAUGAACCACUGCGAAGCAUUUGCUAAGGAUGUUUUCAUUAAUCAAGAAUGAAAUUUGGGGGCUCUAAGACAAUCAGAUACCACCCUAGUAUAAACCAUAAACGAUCUCGACCACGGAUCAACAGAUGUUUCUCUAAGGACUCUGCCAACACCUUCUGAGAAAUCAAAGUGUUUGGGUUCUGGGGGGAGUAUGGUCGCAAGGAUGAAACUUAAAGGAAUUGACGGAAGGGCACCACCAGGAAUGGAGCUUGCGGCUUAAUUUGACUCAACACGGAAAAACUUACUAGGUCCAUACAUAGUAAGGAUUGAUAGAUUGAGAGCUCUUUCUCAAUUCUAUGGGUGGUGGUGCAUGGUUGUUCUUAGUUGGUGGAGCGAUUUGUCUGGUUAAUUCCGAUAACGAAUGAGACCUCAGCCUGCUAACUAGCUACGCGGAGGUUCCCCUUCGCGGCCAGGUUCUUAGAGGGACUAUGGUUGUUUAGGCCAUGAAAGUUUGAGGCAAUAACAUGUCUGUGAUGCCCUUAGACGUUCUGGGCCACACCCGCGCUACACUGAUGCAGUACACGAGUUUUUAUCCCUGGUUAGAGAGGAUCGAGAAAUCUUCUCAAAUUGCAUCGUGAUGGUGAUAGACCAUUGCAAUUAUUGGUCUUCAACGAGGAAUUCCUAGUAAGCACGUGUCAUCAGCUCGUGUUGACUACGUCCCUACCCUUUGUACACACCGCUCGUCGCUCCUACCGAUUGAAUGAUCCAGUGAAGUGUUCGGAUCGCAUCAACAAAGGUGGUUUGUUUUCGGCGAUGUAGUGAGAAGUUCAUUGAACCUUAUCAUUUAGGGGAAGGAGAAGUCGUAACAAGGUUACCGUAGGUGAACCUGCGGUAGG